rfam:Picea glauca, whole genome shotgun sequence.
ACAUGAUUACAACAUAGUAUUAAUGCACCGGAUCCCAUUGGAACUCCAUAGUUAAGCAUGCUCGGGCUAGAUUAGUACUGGGAUGGGUAAUCACCUAGGAAGUCCUAGUAUUUUACAUGCC